rnacentral:rRNA from 1 species
UACGUAGGGGGCAAGCGUUGUCCGGAAUCAUUGGGCGUAAAGCGCGCGUAGGCGGCCCGGUAAGUCCGCUCUGAAAGUCCAGGGCUUAACCCUGGAAAGCGGGUGGAUACUGCCGGGCUGAAUCGGAAGAGGCGAGUGGAAUUCCGUGGUGUAGCGGUGGAAAUGCGCAGGAUAUCAGGAGGAACACCGGUGGCGAAGGCGGGUCUCUGGGCAACUACUGACGCUGGAGGAGCGAAAGCCAGGGGAGCAAACGGG